rnacentral:rRNA from 1 species
GAUGAAUGCCGGCGGCGUGCCUAACACAUGCAAGUCGAGCGGCAGCGAGGGGUGCUUGCACCCUGUCGGCGAGCGGCGAACGGCUGAGUAACGCGUAGGAAUUUGCCCCAAAAUGAGGAAUAACUGCCCGAAAGGGUAGCUAAUGCCGCAUAUGGUCUUCGGAUUAAAGGAUUUAUCCGCUUUGGGAGAAGCCUGCGUUGGAUUAGGUUGUUGGUAGGGUAAUGGCCUACCAAGCCGACGAUCCAUAGCUGGUCUGAGAGGAUGAUCAGCCAGACUGGAACUGAGACACGGUCCAGACUCCUACGGGAGGCAGCAGUGAGGAAUCUUCCACAAUGGGCGAAAGCCUGAUGGAGCAACGCCGCGUGAAGGAUGAAGGCCUUCGGGUUGUAAACUUCUUUUAUGAGUGAAGAAUAUGACGGUAACUCAUGAAUAAGCACCGGCUAACUACGUG